rnacentral:rRNA from 1 species
AGAACGAACGCUGGCGGCAGGCCUAACACAUGCAAGUCGAACGCCCCGCAAGGGGAGUGGCAGACGGGUGAGUAACACGUGGGAACAUACCCUUCGGUUCGGAAUAACUCAGGGAAACUUGAGCUAAUACCGGAUACGUCCGCGAGGAGAAAGAUUCAUCGCCGGAGGAUUGGCCCGCGUCCGAUUAGCUAGUUGGUGAGGUAAUGGCUCACCAAGGCGACGAUCGGUAGCUGGUCUGAGAGGAUGAUCAGCCACAUUGGGACUGAGACACGGCCCAAACUCCUACGGGAGGCAGCAGUGGGGAAUCUUGCGCAAUGGGGGAAACCCUGACGCAGCGACGCCGCGUGCGGGAUGAAGGCCUUCGGGUUGUAAACCGCUUUCAGCAGGGACGAAUUGACGGUACCUGCAGAAGAAGGCCCGGCCAACUACGCGCCAGCAGCCGC